ensembl:lncRNA
GCUCAAAAGCAACGUGCACGGCGUGCACCGCCCUGCGCUCUCCGUGCACCACUCCGCGUUUCACUGUUAAGAUUCAUGGCGAGCUCUAAAAGUCGCCUGGAAGCUCGAGGCUCGCGCGCACCUCCCCGCGUUGUCCCGGGCGACGCUUAAGGCCGUGACCAUGACAACUGGGGGGGGGGGGUGGCAGAGGGGAGCGCUGGAGAGAGGAGGGAACGGUGGUCUGGUUGUGGUCGGGAGGCGGGGGGAUCAUUUAACUCACCACACGCUAUGAAAGACCCCCUUGUUGGGCCACAGAACCACAGAAUCCCCCACAAACAUCCGUCACACACACACACACACACACACACACACACACACACACACACACACACACACACACACACACCUUCAUUCACAGCUGCCAUAGAAACACCAACAGGCCAAGCUGUUCAUCUCACGCACACGCAUGUAGUCUCUGUACAUCAUGCAAAGAGAUAACAGCUGAUCCGACAUUAGAAAGCAAAUAGUGACACUCAAACGUUACACCCUCGGCAUUAUGGGUAAUAGACUGCAACACGCCACCUGACGGUCUGCAGGGAUUCUCUCUCCUUCAGCCACGGGAGCACACGUGAUGUAUAAAACAUAAGCGUGUGCAGUCAUAAUAACCGAUUAGUCCACACAGAGAAAAAACGUCCUCUUUUCUUCGUUGGUCCCUUUUCUCGCACACAUUAGUUUCACAUUAAGAUUUAUUCACCACUGUGAGACAUUAAGUAAAUCAUUCAAGCGAUUAAUCGAGAAAAUAAUCUGCAGAUGAACCAAUAAUGAGAAUAAUCAGUUUUGGCAAAAUAGACUUAAAAUAGAGGCGUGUUCGGGUUAAAUAUAAUUUAGCAUUAAGUUGUUAAAUUACUGUAGAAAAAAACAUCCUCUUCGUUCAUCCACCUUCUGUAUUUGUUCUCUGCUGGUUCCUCACUUACCCACAAUGCACCAAAGACUGUGUGUGUGAGCAGCCCCGAGCAGGAACGAGCAACACGCUACAGAAGAACCUCAAGCGCCCGCUGCCUCGAGGCCCCGAACCGAGGCCCCGAACAGAGGCCCCCGAACAGAGGCCCCGAACAGAGGCCCCCUAACAGAGGCCCCGAACAGAGGCCCCCGAACAGAGACCCCCAAACCGAGGCCCGAACAGAGGCCCCCUAACAGAGGCCCCCGAACCGAGACCCCCAAACCGAGGCCCCCGAACCGUGGCACCAAACCGAGGUCCCCUAACAGAGGCCCCCAAACUGUGGCCCCUGAACAGAGGCACCAAACCGAGGCCCAAGGCUCAAGUGACAUCAACCGAGGCGACUUCUUUUUGCACAUAUAGAGGAGCAGCUUUGAUGUGUAGAAAGCGUUGGAGCUCCGCCCCCCCCGAACACCAACAUCUCUGUCUGGUGUGGCUCAGUGUGUGUGUGUGUGUGUGUGUGUGUGUGUGUGUGUUACAGCGUCAGUGGAGAGCAGAAACCGAGCCCAGGAGAGCGGCCACAGCGGAUGAGGUGUCUUCUUGUUUCCCCGCGGCCGCCGCAUCGUGAUGCAGAAUCACUCAGCCACGUCUCCCCCUCUGUGUGUGUGUGUGUGUGUGUGUGUGUGUACGUGUGUGUGUGUGUGUGUGUGUGUGUGUGUGCGUGUGCGCACCACUAAUCAAGGUGCCUU